GAUGAACGCUGGCGGCGUGCCUAAUACAUGCAAGUCGAGCGAACAGAUAAGGAGCUUGCUCCUUUGACGUUAGCGGCGGACGGGUGAGUAACACGUGGGUAACCUACCUAUAAGACUGGAAUAACUCCGGGAAACCGGGGCUAAUGCCGGAUAACAUUUAGAACCGCAUGGUUCUAAAGUGAAAGAUGGUUUUGCUAUCACUUAUAGAUGGACCCGCGCCGUAUUAGCUAGUUGGUAAGGUAACGGCUUACCAAGGCAACGAUACGUAGCCGACCUGAGAGGGUGAUAGGCCACACUGGAACUGAGACACGGUCCAGACUCCUACGGGAGGCAGCAGUAGGGAAUCUCCCGCAAUGGGCGAAAGCCUGACGGAGCAACGCCGCGUGAGUGAUGAAGGUCUUCGGAUCGUAAAACUCUGUUAUUAGGGAAGAACAAAUGUGUAAGUAACUGUGCACGUCUUGACGGUACCUAAUCAGAAAGCCACGGCUAACUACGUG
rnacentral:rRNA from 1 species